UUUGUGGUUGUGGUGUUGUGUGUGAAAGGCUCAGGCGUUACGCGUUGGACCGACCUCUGGGUACCCUCCACCCCGUGCCUUGGCUUGUCUUCCCGGUAACCAGGUGGCCUGGACUUGAACUCCCCGUUAUUCCCAGGAGUCCUCAUCUCGUGGUAGGGAAUUCUUUACUGAGAUGACGUACACAUCACCUGCAUACGUCUCAGUCUGGGGCAGACUGACGUCAGUGACAGGGACUCCCCGCUGUGGGGGGGGCUGAGAGAGCUCAGCUGCUCCGCCCCCGGGGUUGUUGUGGGCACCUGCAGACACGCCCUCCCCGCUGAGCAGUGCAGCUGUGUGGCUGGGCUUGUUGCUGGGGGUGUGCCGUCCACUACAGACCUCCCCACCCAGGGAGGAUCUUAUCAUCUCACCAUCCUGGGGUGAGUCGUAAGGAAAGACCGGUAGCAAGUCCUAGACGGGUAACAGCUUUGCCUCCUGCUCCAUCACAGCCAACUAUGAGAAGUCCACCGCUCUGUGCUAGACAGUGCUAUGCCAACAAAAUCAACUAUUUGGGAAUAUGUGAGCAUGCUCAGUGCCAAAGCAUCGCUCACGUGCGUGGGAGGAGUGAUCGCAAGGAGGCGCCUGCUGCGGUGGGCAGCUCUGCCAGGCCCCCGCCAGAGCUCACGUCUGCUGCCCUCACGGUCUGGCUGUGCUCAGAGUCUGCAGAGCCCAGUGCACUGCGUUCCCCACGAGGAGAAGAGGCAGAUGCUGCUGAUGAAGGAAGGAAGGCAAGAGUGGGAUGUAUUGGGUGGCACGCCGACUUCGCUGCAGAAACUAUUCACGGGGGGGGGGGGGGGGGGGGGCUCUUAUUUGGUCCAGAGCAGAAUUUUAGCUUAUUUUCUCUCAGAAGCUCAUUCUCAGGCGGAGGUGAAGGCUUUUCCCAUGGCCCGGUGUGUGAACACUCACAGAACCUCAGCCACUGUCUUUCCGGUGUUGCCACAACGCGCUGCUGACCCUCCCCCACAGCCUGAUGCCGUCCCUCGAGGCUGUUUCCUAAGCCGGCCUCACGGUCAGGAGCCUGGUGGCCUCGACCUGCCCUGAGUGCAUGACAGGCCCCUCACAGCACUGCUGGCUGUGUGAGCUUCCUGUGGCUGGGGUAACAGAGCCACAGUUUAGCCCUGACCGGUUUGGCUCAGUGGAUAGAGCGUUGGCCUGCCGACUGAAGGGUCCCGGGUUCGAUUCCGGUCAAGGGCAUGUACGUUGG